GACGAACGCUGGCGGCGUGCUUAACACAUGCAAGUCGAACGGUGAAGCGCCUUCCUUUUUGGUGGGUGUGGAUGAGUGGCGAACGGGUGAGUAACACGUGCGUAACCUGCCCCCUUCUUCUGGAUAACCGCAUGAAAGUGUGGCUAAUACGGGAUAUUCUGGGUCUGUGGCAUGAUGGGUCUGGGAAAGAUAUUGUUUCGGUGGGGGAUGGGCUCGCGGCCUAUCAGCUUGUUGGUGGGGUGAUGGCCUACCAAGGCGGUGACGGGUAGCCGGCCUGAGAGGGUGGACGGCCACACUGGGACGGAGACACGGCCCAGACUCCUACGGGAGGCAGCAGUGGGGAAUAUUGCACAAUGGGCGCAAGCCUGAUGCAGCGACGCCGCGGGAGGGAUGGAGGCCUUCGGGUUGUGAACCUCUUUCGCCAGUGAAGCAGGCCUGCCUCGUUUGUGGGUGGGUUGACGGUAGCUGGAUAAGAAGCGCCGGCUAACUACGUG
rnacentral:rRNA from 1 species